rnacentral:rRNA from 1 species
UACGUAGGGUGCGAGCGUUAAUCGGAAUUACUGGGCGUAAAGCGUGCGCAGGCGGUGCGCCAAGCUCGAUGUGAAAGCCCCGGGCUUAACCUGGGAAUUGCAUUGAGGACUGGCGUGCUCGAGCGCGGCAGAGGGGGGUGGAAUUCCACGUGUAGCAGUGAAAUGCGUAGAGAUGUGGAGGAACACCGAUGGCGAAGGCAGCCCCCUGGGCCGACACUGACGCUCAUGCACGAAAGCGUGGGGAGCAAACAGG